rnacentral:tRNA from 1 species
CAUUAGUUCAAUGGUAGAACGUUAGCUUCCCAAGCUGAAUACGCGAGUUCGAUUCUCGUAUGG